rnacentral:rRNA from 1 species
AUUGAACGCUGGCGGCAUGCUUUACACAUGCAAGUCGAACGGUAACAGGCCGCAAGGUGCUGACGAGUGGCGAACGGGUGAGUAAUGCAUCGGAACGAGCCCAGUCGUGGGGGAUAACGCAGCGAAAGCUGCGCUAAUACCGCAUACGAGCUAUGGAUGAAAGCGGGGGACCGUAAGGCCUCGCGCGAUUGGAGCGGCCGGUGUCAGAUUAGGUAGUUGGUGGGGUAAAGGCUCACCAAGCCAACGAUCUGUAGCUGGUCUGAGAGGACGACCAGCGACACUGGGACUGAGACACGGCCCAGACUCCUACGGGAGGCAGCAGUGGGGAAUUUUGGACAAUGGGCGCAAGCCUGAUCCAGCAAUGCCGCGUGCAGGAAGAAGGCCUUCGGGUUGUAAACUGCUUUUGUACGGAACGAUACGGUCUGGGUUAAUACCUCGGGCUAAUGACGGUACCGUAAGAAUAAGCACCGGCUAACUACGUGCCAGCCGCCGCUGUAAAAC